CAGUCGCCGCGGUAAUACGGAGGGUGCAAGCGUUAAUCGGAAUUACUGGGCGUAAAGCGCACGCAGGCGGUCUGACAAGUCAGAUGUGAAAUCCCCGGGCUUAACCUGGGAACUGCAUUUGAAACUGUCAGGCUGGAGUCUUGUAGAGGGGGGUGGAAUUCCAGGUGUAGCGGUGAAAUGCGUAGAGAUCUGGAGGAAUACCGGUGGCGAAGGCGGCCCCCUGGACAAAGACUGACGCUCAGGUGCGAAAGCGUGGGGAGCAAACAGGAUUAGAUACCCCGGUAGUCCCUGUCUCUUGUAC
rnacentral:rRNA from 1 species